GUAGCCGGACGUAGGCUCAAGCCUCAGGAGGAUCACCGGGCAUGCGUACUGUCUGCAGAUCAACAUGCAUGCAAUAUACGUAAGAGAGAGGUUAGUUACAUCAGGUGCAUAAUGUAUUAGACCCCCAACAGCCGUCAGGAUCUCCAAAACAGCAAGGCGAGGUCUCAGGGAUUCGGGCAAGAAGACACAUACGCUGACCAAGCAAAGGUUGAGAGAGAGAGUAGGGGUUGAAGACACAUCUCGGCCGUGCUGCCUCACUUGGGACAAUGCCAUCCCAUUACAUAAGCAAACUUUACCAAAACCUACUCUUGUGGGCAAUGGUGCAAGUACAUUAUGAAGAAAAAUAGGUACCUUGCAUAACAUAUGUAUAUCUAAAUAUCAAAGAAAACCUACCAUAUUUGAUUCCAAGUUUGCUUUAUACACAAAUAAUGUAAGAGUACGUAAUAUGGUGUCGUAUGAUAAAUUACAUAUGCAUGUAUAUCCAAUCGCUCAAAUGUCUGAUCCGGCUCCAUGUGGUGUCUCAUUGGUUACUUUUGUUAAUUCUUUUAUUAGCUCUGAAGCUGGAUGAUGGAUUGCCCAGCCAAUGCUUUUUUGCCAUGGAUCAGAUGGUAUAUACCCACAAUCCGGAAGCAUGUUUAUUACUUCCUAACAUUGGCUGGAUGCACCCACAAUCCGGAAGCAUGUUGAUUACUUCCUAACAUUGGCUGGAUGCACACGUACUGACGUACAAGAGGACUUGAUGGAAUCUUACCGGAUGGAAAAACGCCCACAAGCAAAACAUGCACGUGAGUGGAUUUGAUUGCAAAAGAAUCAUUUAGUGAUUUACACUAACGUAGGCUACCAAAAUACACUCCUAAUCGUUGAUUAUUUUAAUGUCACAGCUGGACAGGAAACCACACAUCGUGGUUAAUUCCAGCAAGCUCAAUCUCACGUUGUCGAUGUAGGUGUAGUUGGGAUGUGUUCUUUAUUUACAGAUUUGUUGGGAUGUGUUCUAACUCUACUUACUUUGUACAACUUGCAUAUGAUUUUUCAAACCAUAUUACCACAAUAUGGAAUUUAAGAUUUGUGGUUUGGAAGUAGAAAAUUACAAUUAUGACUAAUUGUAUUGGUAUAUGUAUUUUCUUUGAAAUAAAAAAAUAUAUCAGUACUAGAAAUUUAUGAUGUGAUGGUUCAUGUACAGGCUGACCCAUUGUUUAGGUGACUUCAGCCUUCCGGAUUUGAGUUAGGAAAAGGACAUGAUUGUCCUGUUGGAUUCGGGAUCACCAUGAGUGAUUAAUCAAAAUGCAAUACUGAUAACCAUAAUAAAUAUGUUACUACAAAAAUCAGAAACAUCUAUCCGUUUAUUUAACAGAGUAAAGUUUCAUGGCCAUUAAAUAGGAUAUAUAUAUAAGUGAACAAAUUUACCUACCAAUGCCAUUAUAAUCAUAAUAGCACCAACAUGGUUUAUUUGGCAAUUUUUGUUUUUGAAAAGGUGGAUCUAUAUGGCUGUCAAAAAAGAAGGUUUAACUAAAAAAACAUGGGUCUAUAUCGCUACACUUUUGCCUUGCCUAGAGGCGAGCCGCCAAAUUGCUCUUGCCAUGUUGCUUUGUUGAUGUCGUCGUCUGACUGCUGAGGAUAGCGGAAGAUAAGAAAAAUCUCCUCCAUAGUUCACUGGUGUUAGGCCUACAUCUUCCUUGCCCUUCUAUCUGAUCUAUACUGCUACGAGUCAAAGACGAUGGACGUCGUCAUGUUGGGCUGUAUGCUAUGAAAUUUUUGAUCCACACAGGUGCAGCUCAAAUUCAUGUGUAUGUUCUAAUUGAUCCUUAUAGGUUAUGUUAGCUUGGUGCAGGAUUUCAUCAUGAAGGAAUUAAAUCUAGCUUGCUUCGUCGUCUUGCUGGUAGUACUACAUAUGCUUGUGGGCCGGUGCCAAAAGAGGUUGCAGGUUCGCGCUUAUCCGCGGGUCAGGUUGACAUUCUAGGGUACAAAAUAAAGGCCAUAGAGCACACUCACUUGAUCAGUGUAUUCAGCAAGAUACUCCUAGAGUCCCAAUACGCUGGACUACAGGAGAAGUGCCAACCAUUGGUACCACAAGACAAUGGGUACGAUAACAAGCAAGAAUCGGCUGUGAAGCAAGCAACAACAUGGUGGAGAAACGAGCUCCUGGAUUUUCUGGCCAAGCACAUCAACUAACUCACCAUCAUAGUUCAUCAACCUAACGCAAACCCUCAAUUUCUUAACGUUUGUUAUGUAUUUUUCUAGCAUUAGAUCGAAACAGUGGUCUUGGGGAACUAUUGUAAAAGAAACUUUUGUUCUGUUAGAUACUACUUAAUGAAAGGUUAGGAGAAUGA